rnacentral:rRNA from 1 species
AGCUCCAAUAGCGUAUAUUAAAGUUGCUGCAGUUAAAAAGCUCGUAGUUGGAUCUCGGGGUACCUGGUCUAGCCGGUAUAGAUCCCGCUAAAACUGGUCUGACCCCCCAACGUGAGGGAUUCGUCUCCGGGUGCACUUCAUUGGGUGCUCGUGAGGGGCCUCGUAGUUACUGUGAAAAAAUUAGAGUGUUCAAAGCAGGCUCAUAUGUUCGGAUAGUCGUGCAUGGAAUAACGGAAUACGUGACGGGCGCUUUUCAGUUGUUUUCGGAGACUGGUCAAAUGAUUAAGAGGGACUGGCGGGGGCAUUGGUAUGGCGGGGUCAGAGGUGAAAUUCUUGGAUCCUCGCCAGACCAACAAAAGCGAAAGCAUUUGCCAAGAAUGUCUUCA